rnacentral:snRNA from 1 species
GGAUGUGAGGAUGAUCUGGUUGAUUCAGCUCAUCAGGCUGACUAGAAAGGUGUCCCCUUCCUCCCUCAACAUUUCAUGUGUUUCCCUCCCAAUGCUGUAUACUUGGUCAAAGAGGAUGACCACUCCAGAUAGAGGAGGACAGUUUUCUUGAUCAAGAGUGUGUGAGUAGUUGUGUUCCCCUGGUGGUACUUGCAAACAAGCUCUCUAAAAAAUCUAUGAAUGAUAUAUUGACACAUAUAGAAUCUUAAAAAGUUAAAUUUAUGAAGAGUAACUAAAUCAAAAUUGAAAAAUAUUU